rnacentral:rRNA from 1 species
UAGAGUUUGAUCCUGGCUCAGGAUGAACGCUAGCUACAGGCUUAACACAUGCAAGUCGAGGGGAAACGACAUCGAAAGCUUGCUUUUGAUGGGCGUCGACCGGCGCACGGGUGAGUAACGCGUAUCCAACCUGCCCAUCACUUGGGGAUAACCUUGCGAAAGUAAGACUAAUACCCAAUGAUAUCUCUAGAAGACAUCUGAAGGAGAUUAAAGAUUUAUCGGUGAUGGAUGGGGAUGCGUCUGAUAGCUUGUUGGCGGGGUAACGGCCCACCAAGGCAACGAUCAGUAGGGGUUCUGAGAGGAAGGUCCCCCACAUUGGAACUGAGACACGGUCCAAACUCCUACGGGAGGCAGCAGUGAGGAAUAUUGGUCAAUGGGCGAGAGCCUGAACCAGCCAAGUAGCGUGCAGGAUGACGGCCCUAUGGGUUGUAAACUGCUUUUAUAAGGGAAUAAAGUGAGUCUCGUGAGACUUUUUGCAUGUACCUUAUGAAUAAGGACCGGCUAAUUCCGUGCCAGCAGCCGCGGUAAUACGGAAGGUCCGGGCGUUAUCCGGAUUUAUUGGGUCUAAAGGGAGCGUAGGCCGGAGAUUAAGCGUGUUGUGAAAUGUAGACGCUCAACGUCUGCACUGCAGCGCGAACUGGUUUCCUUGAGUACGCACAAAGUGGGCGGAAUUCGUGGUGUAGCGGUGAAAUGCUUAGAUAUCACGAAGAACUCCGAUUGCGAAGGCAGCUCACUGGAGCGCAACUGACGCUGAAGCUCGAAAGUGCGGGUAUCGAACAGGAUUAGAUACCCUGGUAGUCCGCACGGUAAAC